GAGUUUGAUCGUGGCUCAGAUUGAACGCUGGCGGCAUGCCUUACACAUGCAAGUCGAACGGUAACAGGUCUUCGGAUGCUGACGAGUGGCGAACGGGUGAGUAAUACAUCGGAACGUGCCCGAUCGUGGGGGAUAACGGAGCGAAAGCUUUGCUAAUACCGCAUACGAUCUACGGAUGAAAGCAGGGGACCGCAAGGCCUUGCGCGGACGGAGCGGCCGAUGGCAGAUUAGGUAGUUGGUGGGAUAAAAGCUUACCAAGCCGACGAUCUGUAGCUGGUCUGAGAGGACGACCAGCCACACUGGGACUGAGACACGGCCCAGACUCCUACGGGAGGCAGCAGUGGGGAAUUUUGGACAAUGGGCGAAAGCCUGAUCCAGCCAUGCCGCGUGCAGGAUGAAGGCCUUCGGUU
rnacentral:rRNA from 1 species